GAUGAACGCUGGCGGCGUGCCUAACACAUGCAAGUUGAGCGAUCUUCUUCGGAAGAGAGCGGCGGACGGGUGAGUAACGCGUGGGUAACCUACCCUGUACACACGGAUAACAAUACCGAAACGGUAAUGCUAAUACGAGAUAAUAUGUUUCUAUUCGCAUGUUUGUAAACAAUCAAAGACUCCGGCGGUAUAGGAUGGACCCGCGUCUGAUUAGCUAGUUGGUUGAGGUAACGG
rnacentral:rRNA from 1 species